UUUUCAGAAACCUCCAAAUGGAUAGGAAGUGCCGUAUGACACUCCAAACAGCAGAGGAGCACAGCGCUCACUUUUCCCAUCCACCAUCGCUCAGCCUUAGGGUUUCUUCGAUUGGUCGGGAAGGUUAGUCCGGUGUUACACUGUGUGUGAUUUUAAACAGGUCUCUGAGGAUA